GACCUCUGACCCGCCCGGGGCCCCGCCUAACGGCGGAGCCGUGUUGGGUGUGCGGCACCCUGGGCGGACCGCUGUGCUUACGCUCCCGGCCUCCGGCGAUCUUGCAGCCUGGAGGGGAAGGCAGACGUCUGGGUUUGCGGCGUCAGCAGGAUAUCCAAGUUGAGAUGCGGAGAUCGCCGAAGGGGCGCGGCCGGCUGACACCGACCCACAUUGUGAGGCAUCAACAGCUGCCUGCUGUCACGUCAACCCAGCCCUCUGGUUCCUCCUGAACGCUCACCUCUUCGUUCUCGAGGACCCAACAGCAAUUUACCGGUAACCAACGAUCAGCCCGGCUCGCCCACUCACCAAGUGGGACACACGCUCGAUCUCAUCGUCUCCGGUCCUCGUGCUGACUCUGAAAUCCCUCUGUCCGAACACAACCUCCUUGCCCGCGUUCUCUCCC